rnacentral:misc_RNA from 1 species
GAUGAAGAACGCAGCAAAAUGCGAUACUUGGUGUGAAUUGCAGAAUCCCGUGAAUCAUCGAGUCUUUGAACGCACAUUGCGCCCCCUGGUAUUCCGGGGGGCAUGCCUGUCCGAGCGUCAUUGCUGCCCUCAAGCACGGCUUGUGUGUUGGGCCUCCGCCCCCCGGCUCCCGGGGGGCGGGCCCGAAAGGCAGCGGCGGCACCGCGUCCGGUCCUCGAGCGUAUGGGGCUUCGUCACCCGCUCCGUAGGCCCGGCCGGCGCCCGCCGGCGACCCCCCUCAAUCUUUCCAGGUUGACCUCGGAUCAGGUAGGGAUACCCGCUGAACUUAAGCAUAUCAAUAAGCGGAGGA